rnacentral:lncRNA from 1 species
GAAUGGAUAUAAAGGUAAAGCACCUAGGACAGACAAAUACUAGUACAAACACACCAGGAUUCUCUUCGAAUUCCCACCACCUAGAAUAGCAAAUGGUCGCCCCCUUUUCCCCCUAAGCAUAGAUACAUGUAUAUUACUAUAUAUAUAUGUAAUACUAAUAUAGUAAUCAUAAAUAAUCAUUUUCCUAAGGAACUGCAGAUUUGAAAUAUGUAAAGUCAUGAAGAGGUUGAACCUUCACUGCAAAUCAGAAAUUGAGAACCAUAAGUCCUAAAAAUUACGCAUGCCUUUGAUAAAAUUAAAAGAGCAAGCCCCCU